rnacentral:rRNA from 1 species
UACAGAGGUCCCAAGCGUUGUUCGGAUUCACUGGGCGUAAAGGGUGCGUAGGCGGUCGGGUAAGUCUGAUGUGAAAUCUCACAGCUUAACUGUGAAACUGCAUUGGAUACUAUUCGGCUUGAGAGUUGGAGGGGGGACUGGAAUUCUUGGUGUAGCAGUGAAAUGCGUAGAUAUCAAGAGGAACACCAGUGGCGAAGGCGAGUCCCUGGACAACUUCUGACGCUGAGGCACGAAAGCUAGGGGAGCGAACGGG